AGUGAACGCUGGCGGUAGGCCUAACACAUGCAAGUCGAACGGCAGCACAGUAAGAGCUUGCUCUUACGGGUGGCGAGUGGCGGACGGGUGAGGAAUACAUCGGAAUCUACUUUUUCGUGGGGGAUAACGUAGGGAAACUUACGCUAAUACCGCAUACGACCUACGGGUGAAAGCAGGGGAUCUUCGGACCUUGCGCGAUUGAAUGAGCCGAUGUCGGAUUAGCUAGUUGGCGGGGUAAAGGCCCACCAAGGCGACGAUCCGUAGCUGGUCUGAGAGGAUGAUCAGCCAUGCUGGAACUGAGACACGGUCCAGACUCCGACGGGAGGCAGCAGUGGGGAAUAUUGGACAAUGGGCGCAAGCCUGAUCCAGCCAUACCGCGUGGGUGAAGAAGGCCUUCGGGUGGUAAAGCCCUUUUGUUGGGAAAGAAAAGCAGCAGGUUAAUACCCCGCUGUUCUGACGGUACCCAAAGAAUAAGCACCGGCUAACUUCGUG
rnacentral:rRNA from 1 species